UACAGAGGGUGCGAGCGUUAAUCGGAAUUACUGGGCGUAAAGCGUGCGUAGGUGGUUUAAUAAGUCAGAUGUGAAAUCCCCGGGCUCAACCUGGGAACUGCAUUUGAAACUAUUAGGCUAGAGUACGGUAGAGGGAAGUGGAAUUUCCGGUGUAGCGGUGAAAUGCGUAGAUAUCGGAAGGAACAUCAGUGGCGAAGGCGGAUCUCUGGGCCAUUACUGACGCUGAGGAGCGAAAGCGUGGGGAGCGAACAGG
rnacentral:rRNA from 1 species